GAGAGAGAGAGGUGCCAUGGACAUUAAGACCAGAGAGAGAGAGAGAGAGGUGCCAUGGACAUUAAGACCAGAGAGAGAGAGGUGCCAUGGACAUUAAGACCAGAGAGAGAGAGAGAGAGAGAGAGAGGGUCCAUGGACAUUAAGACCAGAGAGAGAGAGAGGUGCCAUGGACAUUAAGACCAGAGAGAGAGAGAGGUGCCAUGGACAUUAAGACCAGAGAGAGAGAAACAACAAGACUUUAAAGGGUAAACACCAAAAUAACUCAAGUUUUACGUAAGGCAAUGAGCUGAAAAUGAAGACACAACCUGGUCAGGAAACGUCUUUCUGAAUUUCUGGUAUCAGAAGAAGAUACACACAGACUCAUCACAGACACUGGACUGUCUUGAUACACACAGACACUGGACUGUCUUGAUACACACAGACACUGGACUGUCUUGAUACACACAGACUCAUCACAGACACUGGACUGUCUUGAUACACACAGACACUGGACUGUCUUGAUACACACAGACUCUUCACAGACACUGGACUGUCUUGAUACACACAGACACUGGACUGUCUUGAAACACACAGACUCUUCACAGACACUGGACUGUCUUGUGUGGAGGGGAGAGGACAAAGAAAUGUUGCUUUGCACAGCAACCACAAAUUCCCUCUGUCAAGACCAUGAUCUCAAAGAGUUGUGUUUUAAGAUGCAAGAUGGUGUCACCCAGCUGUCAGUCAAAACCAGUGGGUACAGUUGCCUAUAAGGGAUAUUCACAACCAUCCACAGUGCCUUCCUCAACAGGGGUUUGUAGCAGGAAGGCUAAAGGACGACUGGCCGGGUUUUGACUGAUUACUGCUGUGGUCCUUCAAUGGUUUUCAUUUGACGUUCAUUAAUUAAUAAUCUGCCAUUGUAAUAACUAAGCAUUAUUAUGUUCAUGUCACAAAGAAGUUGAGUUCAUUUAACUGCAUGUUUUAAUGCCCUGUGGGAUAAGACAGUUGGGACAGCACAUCAACCCUGUCUUGACAUGCUUUAAUGCCCUGUGGGAUAAGACAGUUGGGACUGCACAUCAACCCUGUCUUGACAUGCUUUAAUGCCCUGUGGGAUAAGACAGUUGGGACAGCACAUCAACCCUGUCUUGACAUGCUUUAAUGCCCUGUGGGAUAAGACAGUUGGGACUGCACAUCAACCCUGUCUUGACAUGCUUUAAUGCCCUGUGGGAUAAGACAGUUGGGACAGCACAUCAACCCUGUCUUGACAUGUUUUAAUGAUCAUAUGAUUAAGUACUGUGUUAAAUAUCUAAUUAUAGUUUUAUAUAAAUCCCCCAAAAAUAAAAUAAAAAAUAGUAAUUGGCUGAAAUAGCACGUGUAAAUAAGGGAUACAUUCCCGAUUUCACAUUUUGUGCGAAGUAUUGAUUAAUUUAAAGGUCCUGAUUUUUUUGAUUUUUUUUAAAUGUAUCAUCUUAAAUUUCUGCCCUUCAUUCAUCCGAGGAUCUGAGAGCACUUUUAUAGAAGCUCAGAUUUGGGGCUCAUUGUGAAAGACACGUUGUGACUAGGCCCAGACGUAAUCUGCGGCAUCUUUGUUUUUUUUACAGUACUUCUGCUUAAAGCUUUUUCUGGCCUCUGGUCUGCUGUACGUGUGCAUCAUGCAGGUGAUUUAUACAGGUCAUCUGUUACAUGUAAACGGCAUCUCUCCAACUCUACAUUUAGGACACGUAUUGGACUUUUCUUUCAGUAGAAUCAGUGUAAACAGAGAUGAAAACUGUAAGUUAAUAAAUACAUAUAGUGUCAUAUAAAGUGUCAUGAAUUAGAUACUUUUUUGAGACAUAGACAGGGGGAGAGAGAAAGAGACAGAGAAAG
ensembl:lncRNA